CCUACGGGGGGCAGCAGUGGGGGAUAUUGCACAAUGGGGGAAACCCUGAUGCAGCGACGCCGCGUGGGUGAAGAAGCGCCUCGGCGCGUAAAGCCCUGUCAGCAGGGAAGAAAAUGACGGUACCUGAAGAAGAAGCCCCGGCUAACUACGUGCCAGCAGCCGCGGUAAUACGUAGGGGGCAAGCGUUAUCCGGAUUUACGGGGUGUAAAGGGGGCGCAGACGGGGAUGCAAGCCAGGAGUGAAAGCCCGGGGCCCAACCCCGGGACUGCUCUUGGAACUGCGUGGCUAGAGUGCAGGGGGGGCAGGCGGAAUUCCUGGUGUAGCGGUGAAAUGCGUAGAUAUCAGGAGGAACACCGGUGGCGAAGGCGGCCUGCUGGACUGCAACUGACGUUGAGGCCCGAAAGCGUGGGGAGCAAACAGGAUUAGAUACCCUAGUAGUC
rnacentral:rRNA from 1 species